rnacentral:rRNA from 1 species
AGAGUUUGAUUCUGGCUCAGAACGAACGCUGGCGGCGUGGAUAAGACAUGCAAGUCGAACGCUGAUCGGGGGGUAGCAAUACUCUGCGGUCGGAGUGGCGUAAGGGUGCUUAACACGUGGGUAAUCUGCCGCGAAGUUGGGAAUAACCCCGAGAAAUCGGGGCUAAUGCCGAAUGUGACUGCGGUAAAGCAUUUUUUCGUAGUCAAAGUUGGGGACCGAAAGGCCUGAUGCUUCGCGAUGAGCCCGCGGCCUAUCAGCUAGUUGGUGAGGUAACGGCCCACCAAGGCUAAGACGGGUAGCUGGUCUGAGAGGACGACCAGUCACACUGGAACUGAGACACGGUCCAGACACCUACGGGUGGCAGCAGUCGAGAAUUUUUCUCAAUGGGCGAAAGCCUGAAGGAGCGACGCCGCGUGGGGGAUGAAAGGCUUCGGCUUGUAAACCCCUGUCAUUCGUGAUCAACGCCGCAGCUCUAACACAGCUGCGGUUGAUAGUAACGAAAGAGGAAGGGACGGCUAACUCUGUGCCAGCAGCCGCGGUAAUACAGAGGUCCCAAGCGUUGUUCGGAUUUACUGGGCGUAAAGGGUGCGUAGGUGGUGGGUAAAGUUUGGUGUGAAAUCUCCGGGCCCAACCUGGAAACGGCACUGAAUACUGACUUACUAGAGGAUCGGAUGGGAAACUGGAAUUCUCGGUGUAGCAGUGAAAUGCGUAGAUAUCGAGAGGAACACCCGUGGCGAAGGCGAGUUUCUGGACGAUUCCUGACACUGAGGCACGAAAGCUAGGGGAGCAAACAGGAUUAGAUACCCUGGUAGUCCUAGCCCUAAACGGUGCACAUUUGCUGUGAGCGGAUUCGACCCCGUUCGUGGCGUAGCUAACGCGUUAAAUGUGCCGCCUGGGAAGUACGGCCGCAAGGUUAAAACUCAAAGAAAUUGACGGGGGCCUGCACAAGCGGUGGAGUAUGUGGCUUAAUUCGAUGCAACGCGAAGAACCUUACCUGGCCUUGACAUGUAAGUAGUAGAAGGGUGAAAGCCUGACGAGGUAGCAAUAUCAGCUUACACAGGUGCUGCAUGGCUGUCGUCAGCUCGUGUCGUGAGAUGUUGGGUUAAGUCCCGCAACGAGCGCAACCCCUAUGUCCUGUUGCGACCCGAAUGAGAGUUUGGAGCACUCUGGACAGACUGCCUCACUUAAAUGAGGAGGAAGGUGGGGAUGACGUCAAGUCAGGAUGGCCCUUACGGCCAGGGCUGCACACGUACUACAAUGCCCGGGACAAAGAGAAGCAAUACCGUAAGGUGGAGCAAAUCUCAAAAACCCGGGCUCAGUUCAGAUUGCCGUCUGCAACUCGACGGCAUGAAGCUGGAAUCGCUAGUAAUGGCGCAUCAGCUACGGCGCCGUGAAUACGUUCCCAGGCCUUGUACACACCGCCCGUCACAUCAUGAAAGCCGGUUGUACCCGAAGUCAGCAAGCCAACUGCAAAUGAGCAGCUGCCGAAGGUAUGGCUGGUGAUUGGGAUGAAGUCGUAACAAGGUA